UAAUCGGAAUUACUGGGCGUAAAGCGUGUGUAGGUGGUUGUAUAAGUUAGAUGUGAAAGCCCCGGGCUUAACCUGGGAAUUGCGUUUAAGACUGUAUGACUAGAGUACUGUAGAGGAUAGUGGAAUUUCCAGUGUAGCGGUGAAAUGCGUAGAUAUGUGGAGGAACAUCAGUGGCGAAGGCGGCUUUCUGGACUAAUACUGACGCUGAGGUGCGAAAGCGUGGGGAGC
rnacentral:rRNA from 1 species